ensembl:lncRNA
GAUGUCGGGGGAGAAUUUGUUGAGGUGCAUGUUGUGAGAGUCUCAAGAACUUGUAUGUGACCUUUCUUGGGAAACUCGUGACCUGACCUAGUCUACGAUGAAAUCCAUAUGUGGCUUGGACAGACCAUAUCAUGUUCUUCUAUUUACCUUUCUCCUCUGUUUUCCUGUCUGUCAAAAUGAUUGAUUUGGUCCCACUAAGAGGGUCGUGGAGGUUCCCGAAACAACAUCUGGUUAGCAUUCCUCGAACCUUCAGAGAUGUAUAAAAGCUCCUCGUCCCCCAUAGAAACUUGGUCAGAUCUUCCUGCUCCUUUUGGGAGAAGGAACUUUCUGCCCCUUUUCAGCUGAAUUGUAGUCAUUUGACUUCUGUCUGUGCUUACGGCUUGUGCUGAUGAUUUCUGUAUUGUUUAUCAUUUUUCUAUAUUCUAGUUAGUAAUAAAUACUUAAUCACAAAGCAAGCUCAAGAUACUUUUGAUUUCUCACAUGGGCUAAAUCCACAAAUUUCCACCACAAACUUGGCGACGAGGAUGGGAUGGACGCGUGAUCUGGACUCUGACGGACGGACAGGAGGCCAUUUAGUAUAGGUGAUUCCUCCCUGAGGGUGAGAAGCUGCCGUCCCGACGAGACCCGGAUUGCCGAUCCAUCCAGUUCAAGGAAAAGAAACGAAGAACACGCGGUGAGAGAUCGAAAUUAUUUUAAAGGCAGACAGAGUCAUUGACAAAAUGGUUUUAGGCCUAUCUCACAACGAGCGUGUUGUAGGCAGACGUGUCUGGGUCACCUGUAGUAUUUUCUCGAGUUGCAUAUCCUGUGUCUCCUGAAAAUUCACAGGCCAACUUUGGAUAAAUGCAGUAGACUGAGUGGCCAGAGAAAGCAACGGUCACUGACUUGCCUUAGUUAUACGUGUGGUAUUUCUCCGGUUGUGCGCACCUUUAUAGGCGCGUACACUCCUUGUGUACAGAUACGGAUAUCUAAAUGAGUAGUGUUCAGAGUAAAGGGGAGACGGGUGAAAACCAUGAGACUAAUAUCCUGCCACCAUUGUGUAAAUUUAUGUCAGAGCGUUAUCCUGGCAGUUUGAAUCAAAUACAAAAAUGGGUUGAAUUGGGGUUCCCUUUAAAGGGGAGUUUGAGUGAGAAUCAAUUGGAACAGUUGGAAUUGCAACUGAGGGAAAAGGAGAAGAACGAUGCAGCUCAGCAUGCAGGCCUGUCGGAAAAAUAUCCAUUUACCA